UACUGCCAAAAUGAAUGGCGCUGAUUGAUCAAGUGCAAUGAUUAGUGUGUGCGUAUGUACAAACUCGAUCGCCAAAAGAGGGGCCUCGUGGCAGAUACAGUCCAGUGACAUCCAGGUUAACUGGGACCAGGCAAGGAUUUUAAAGCCUAUUAUAGCUCCAACUCAGCCUUACAUACAAGAAGCUAUACAAAUAGUCAUUAGUAAAGACAACCGGGACGUCAUUAAUGAUAGAGCGACCAUCGACUUACCGGCAGCAUGGAAGUAUAUGAUUGACAGCACCAAAAGAUCCUAGACCCAUGCACUUGCUGAAUUAAUAGCCUUUCAGCCUACAUCUUUACUAAGACCUUCUGGAAAUCGGUCCUUUGUCCAUCUAUUUUGCCCGUAGAGCUAUUUUUUCAAAUCUCAUAACCCCUAAUUGAAUAUAAUUUUUCAUGUUGUUAU
rnacentral:lncRNA from 1 species